UUGAAGGUUUUUUUAAUGGGGAUUAUUCGACUGGUGAUGACUGUGUAUAGUUGUGGCCAUCAUAAAAUUGCUGCAGACGGUGAGAAAAAGCGAAGAACUGUAGUCACAGAAAAACAGAAAGAAAGCUGAUCUAUUGCAAGUACGAUAUGUACUAAAAUUAAUAUGAAUCGGAAUUAAUUGAUCCUGUAAUAUUCUCUGCCAGCAGACAGGUCUGUGAAAGCAUAAUCUGUCGAGAUAUGAUGAUCUGGAAGCCAGGCAAACUUCAAAGCCACAAAAUAGAAGAGCUUUGUUUGAUGUUGAACUGUACCUCAGUCCUCACCGUGCACAAAUCCUUUGUCUCAACUUCGUUAGAUAUCCUUCAUCGUGGUUGCACGUUUCAUCUCAGCUAUCCCUAUUGGACGAUUACUUCAUUAUACGAAAAUACAAUGAGCUCAAUCACCGUGACCGUGCACAAAUUAACAUAAACUUAAAACAUAACACAAUGACUUCAGUUUAG